UGCAGAGGUCUCAAGCGUUGUUCGGAUUCAUUGGGCGUAAAGGGCGCGUAGGUGGCCCGGUCAGUCUUUGGUGAAAGCGCGGGGCUCAACCCUGCGUCGGCCAGGGAUACUGCCGCGGCUGGAGCACUGUAGAGGCAGGCGGAAUUCCGGGUGUAGCGGUGGAAUGCGUAGAGAUCGGGAGGAACAUCCGUGGCGAAGGCGACUACCUGGACCAGCACUGACACUGAGGCACGAAAGCGUGGGGAGCAAACAGG
rnacentral:rRNA from 1 species